rnacentral:ncRNA from 2 species
UACGAAGGGGGCUAGCGUUGCUCGGAAUUACUGGGCGUAAAGGGCGCGUAGGCGGACAGUUAAGUCGGGGGUGAAAGCCCGGGGCUCAACCUCGGAAUUGCCUUCGAUACUGGCUGUCUUGAGUACGGGAGAGGUGUGUGGAACUCCGAGUGUAGAGGUGAAAUUCGUAGAUAUUCGGAAGAACACCAGUGGCGAAGGCGACACACUGGCCCGUUACUGACGCUGAGGCGCGAAAGCGUGGGGAGCAAACAGG